AAGAGCUCACAUCAGCUCAGCUUCAACAUCAACCAUGUUCUCUGUAGCUCUGAUACUGCUGCUGGCAGCUGGAUCCUGUGUGAACAGUAUCAGUCUCAUCCAGCCAGACUCACUGGUCGUGCAGGCUGGACAGCCUUUGACCAUCACCUGUCAGGUCUCUGGUUAUUCUUUGACUGAUAACAGAUAUGCAACAGGUUGGAUCAGACAGUGUGAAGGAAAACCAAUGGACUGGAUUUCUCACAUGUGGGGUGGCGGUACUUUUCGUCAAAAUGGGGCUCUGAAGAACAAGUUCAGCUACAGCAGAGAAACUUCUGCUGGACCAGUUACUCUGAAAGGACAGAGUCUAAGGGCUGAGGACACAGCUGUGUAUUACUGUGUGCGUAUAACCUCCACAGUGAUACAAACCAAAACAGACCCGCACAAAUACCCAGCAACCAUGUGA